GCCCUUCAUUGUAUUAGAGACCAAGAAGCCGUCUUCCUCCUACAGCCCUAGGCCUCGCCGGCGGGGAACGCUAACUACGCCGAUGACCACCAAAAAUACACCAGCAAAUCUCCUUGUUCCCCUCUUUUCAACGCUAUACUCCGUUCCUCUCGAAUCAACGUCAAGCCCAUCGAAUAUUCUUUUGUAAUUUUCCGGCCAUGACGCCACCAUUCCUAAAUCGACCCAAAUUAAUCCCUUGGGUCCGUUUCUCUUUUUCUUACCCAAAUCCCAUGUCAAUUUUCCUCAAAUCCACUAGGAAAUGUUCGAAUUUCAAGUUGAUUGUUUCCGACCAGAACCCUAGAUAUGCCAAAUUGUGCCGAAUUGGCACCGUAUAAUACUCUCACCAUCUAUAUGAAGCUUCCAUCAUCUAAGGCGUUCAAACAUUAUGGAAAUGGGCCAAAUUUUGAGUUUGAAAUAGGCCGGUGAGUCUUUAGGUUUUCAGUACUUCUUUUUAGUUUAAUUAGCUGUGUUAAUUAAUCUAGGUUUAUCUUUGUUUGUCGUCUUGGUUCUGUGUUUGAUCAAUUGCCUUAGGUCGUAACAAUCGUUUGCUAAAGUUUUAGUCAUCUUGUCUAAGUUCAGUUUGAAUUUAAGAUUAGUUUAUUCAUUGUUUUGUGAUUAUUAGUUUCAGUAAUUAUCUUUUUCCUUUUCAAUUUGGCAUAAACGUGUGCCAGUUUUGAUUUUGCUAUAGCCAGUUUAAGUUUAUGACUUUGAUUUCGAUUUUGAUACUUGUUAGUGUCCAAUUUUAAUUGCCGUGUUUAGUUUUGUCAACCCUAUUUUUGAUUUCACGUUCUGAUUCGUUGUUCAUUUUUACUUCAUCUUUGUUUCUGAUUGUCAUUUUAAUUAGUAUACUGGAAUUUACUCCGUUUUGGUUCAAUAAGUUAGUUUAGGUUAUCACAGUAAGUUUGAUUUAGUAUCCCAUAUGUUAUUAUGAGCAAUUGAUUAAUUAGUGUAGGUGAUUUGAAAUUCAGCAAUUGGUUUAGCUUUAAAGGAUUGGUUAUAGUUGUUACCUCAACUAGUAUUAAGGGGAGUGGGGUCAGUUAACUAAGGGUAGUGUUGAUACCCAAUUUUUUCCUAUGUAUCUUGGUACCCAAAAUACUUUCAGAAUAGCUUUUGAAUGCAUAUAUAACAUCCACAAGAGGUUUGGUAUUUUCUAUAAUUUUUCAGGCAUUUUAAAACCAAUUUAUAACUUACUUUUGUACGGUAAAAUCUAAUAUUUAGUGUCAAAUCUUGUUAUUUUAAUAAAAAAAAUUAUUUUAAUCUCUCAUUUACAUAAAAAUAUAAUUUAUGUAAUUUUUACAGGGUUUUACAAAGCCAUUAGGUAUUUUUAAAUUAAAAUUGCAUUAAAUUGCAAUUUUAGCCUAUUUAUCAAUUUAACGACUAUUUCAAGUCUAAAAUUAUUCUUAGUAUUUUUAAUUAAUUUCUAAACGUAUUUUAUUAUCUCAAUAAUUUUAUUGGAUUUUUAUAGAAUGGUUUACUAUUUUUUAAAAUUAAAUUUGUGAAAAUUGGUUAUUUAAAUGGUAGCCUUUUGCUCUUUCAAUUAUAGCCACAUUUCACCCCCAAUUACCUAACCCAACCUAAAAAUUACCCGACCCCAAACCCAUCUAAACUAACCCGCCCCAUUCUUCUUUUAAUCCUGGUCGCUGAUCUCACAGAUCAACGACCCUCAAUUCACUUAUCUUAAUUAAACCCUCACAACCCCCUAACCCUAAUCAAUUACACCCAAACGGGCCGCCUUUCACUCCCAAAUAUCUCUAGUGUCUGUGAGAACCCUAGUCUUCUCCAGUCCUCUUCACCGGCGUCAAUGGCCAUUCAGGGCCUAAAACUUCCAUGCUCGUCCGUUCAUCACAUAUUCUGGCCUUUGGGUUCGAAGAUUGGGACUUUGUCUCGAGGGUAACUGGACCAGAACUCCUUCAAUGGAGUUUCAUGGCUGUUCUACGGUGAGCCUUUGAAGCCUUGGAUCUUUUCCAAGCUCCGAUGGGUCGUUCAUGCUUUUCUCGCCAUUUCUGAGGUUUUUUAUGAAAACCUUAAUGAUUCGAGGUUCCUCCUUUCAUUUUUCUCUAUGUUAUCUUACGAUUUUCUUUGAGUAAUAGGUGUUUUCUAAAACUUUUUAAGUGUUUCUCACCUCUUUCUUCACUUAGUCAUGAUUUCAAAACUGUUCGUUUUAGAACCUGGGGUUUUCUAGGACUUAUCCGAUUUCUUUGAUUUUUUGUUGUUUAUUCUUGCUACUAGGUGUUCUUCUCCGUGAUUUUGAAAUUUUCAAUUUUGGCUCUAAAGUUUUUUAUCUCACUGCCUACCUUUCUAGGGUUUUUGGUUAAAAUUGUUCUAUGCUUUCUUUAUAGUGUUCUGCUCUUGUUCGUUUUCAUCUAUGAUAUUCCUUGUGUUUUGACCGGUAGCGGGAAUCCUAAUCUCUAAAAGGUAUUCUCCAUUCCUUGUUCUGUGUGAAACCCUAGCCAGCCCUGUUUGCUUCUUGUGUUUGCUACCCGUCUGCUCUAUUAUUCGUUAGUCUCUAGUAUAUUCAAAACUUAUGCAUCUUUAUACUACUGCUUUUCCCCUUUCCCUGAAACCCUAAAAUUGAUUUUGUACAACUGUUUGUUUUGAUUCUCUAAUUGCUCCUUGUUUCUUGACUAUUUUCAAAAGAUUGAUAUCUUGACUCCUUGAUUUCCUGGGUGAUUACUUGCCUUAUAUGCCCUACCCAUGUGAUUUUCAAAUUUCUUAUGAGUAUUUACCCUAUAUUCUGUGAUUAAUACUAUAUUUUCUUUCCAAAAUUAGACCUGGGUUUAUUUAUUUUCCCAUUCGGUUCCUUAAUUGAAGGGGUUCCCUUCUCCUUAAUUGAUACUGAUGGAUUUCUGAAUAUUUCCUUACCUUACUGUUGCUUGUCUUUCAACUAUAAAUAGGCCCUCUCUUUUCUCACUUGAGAACAACUCAUUCUCGAGUCCUCUCUACUCUAGCUCACAAAAACUCUCUGCUUUUUCUCUUCCUUGCUACUUGCUAUCUCUCUGCUAAAGUUAGCCGGCUGAAAGCCAAGGCUAACUAUAAGGAUUUUCUUUGUUGUGUUACUCAAACCUGCACUAGUAGGCUCCUAACUCCAUUUAUUAACUUUCAAGUAUUUGUUUUCUCUCCCUUCUUCUUUGUCUGUUAGAACCUGCACUGGUAGGCUCCUAACUCAAUUUAUUAACUUUCAAGUAUUUGUUUGCUCUUCCUUCUUCUUUUUUUGUUAUGUUAUUGCAAUUAAGCUUGCAUGAUCAACCCCUUCCCCUUACCCUUUUGUCUUCCUGUAUUUGAGUGUCAGCAUGUCAAUUUCCUCCCCCCCCCCCUUCCCUUUGUCCCCUUAUCUGUAUAUGCUCAAGAUAGUCCUGAACCAUUACCCUUAACUGUGUAUACCUUCAGCAUGUUAAUCCCUGAUUCCCAUUUCCCCUUGGGUGCCUACAUUCAAUGUUUUGUUAAAUCCAGCAUAUUGAAUACUUUCCUUUGAUUGUACACUAUUAUGCUUUAAUUUAAUCUUGUCUGCUAAGUGUUUAUAUGAUUUCCUUGCUCCUUGUUUGUAUGUGAGUUGUUCUGGACAAGGGUGGCACCCUAUUGCCAUUUCUAGUUCAGAACUAAGGUUGCCAAUAGCCUUAUGCGUUUGAGACUGGAAAAAGGCAUGUUAGUGUCUUAAUCACCUUCCAGGCCCUUGUCUGGCUUCGGCUGUCAAUAGCCUUUCUCAAAGCAAUCCCAUCCCCCAUCCCCUCUCUUAUGUGUUUGAGCCUGGAAAAAGGCAUGUUGGUGUCUUAAUCACCUCCCAGUACCAUGUUUGACUUGUUUACAAGUCUGCUCUUGUUUGUAAUCUUUGUAAGGAGUCUGGGGUUUGCCAGUCUCAUUCAAUAGGCUGGGUAUGACCACUUCAUACACUGGUUUCCCUUUAAUCCUCANNNNNNNNNNNNNNNNNNNNNNNNNNNNNNNNNNNNNNNNNNNNNNNNNNNNNNNNNNNNNNNNNNNNNNNNNNNNNNNNNNNNNNNNNNNNNNNNNNNNNNNNNNNNNNNNNNNNNNNNNNNNNNNNNNNNNNNNNNNNNNNNNNNNNNNNNNNNNNNNNNNNNNNNNNNNNNNUACCCCUUUGGUAAGCCAUGCUUAGGGACCUUGGAGUCUCCUCUGAACUUGGAUGCCUUAGGGGUGGUAAUUCCACACUUGCACUAUUCCAAGUAGGGUGUAAACAAUGCCUGGAUCUCUUUGAAGGCCCUUGGAACUUUGUAGCACUCUAAAAGAGAAAAGCCUCGGAUCUUGGGAGCUCGGAUUUGGUAAAAGGAAUAUUGUUGGACAUUAAAGUUGCUUCGAGAUUCCUCGGGCCUGUUAGAGUUGCAGAUGUAUUUUAACUUUUUAUUUCUUUAGUGUUAUACGUUGGACAUUAAAGUUGCUUUGUGCUUCUUCGGGUCUGUUAUAGCAUUGAUGUACUUUACUCCUUUUAAUGUUAUUUUCUUGUCCAAACUUUUAUAAGUAACUUGUAAUAAAGAACUCUGUGAUCUAGUGAAAAGGGAAUAUGGGAGGGGUUUAUUUUCUUGCAUCAAUCUUAUAUAGAUACCAUGUUUAUAGGGUUUACUUUCUUGAAUCAUCUCAUAUAGUUAUCAUGUCUAUAAGGGUUUUCAUUAUUGCAGUAACAUCAUAUAGAAAACAUGCUUAUAAGAGUUUACUAUUGCAUCCACAUCAUAUAGAAAUCAUGACUAUAGGCUCAUUUAUAUUCACAUCAGUAGAAACCAUGUCUUAGGAUUUUUAUUUUAUCCAUGUAUACGGUUACCAUGCCUAUUUUUUGUUGAAGUAGAAACCAUAUCUUAGGACUUUCAUCUUACCCAUGUACACUGUUACCAUGCCUAUUUUAUGUUGUUGCAUCAAUCAUAUAGAUAUCAUGUCUAUAGGCUUCCGCAUUGCACCGACUUCAUACAGAAAUCAUGUUAUUAGGCUUGCAUCUUAUAAUGUCACCUAGAUAUCAUGCCUAUAGGAGUUAUCUAGAUGCUAGACAAAAUAGUAGGACGUCCAAUUGUAUAAGAGCAUCAAUUAAGGGGUUAGCAAGUAAGUUUAAGUCCAGACUCGUCCAAUGUUUUCUAAUGCCUAGUUUUCUUCAACUUAUCUUAAAUUGGUUUAUCUCAAACGAGUCUAGGUCUGCCCUUUUCGUAAUGUCAAGAGCCUACAAGCUGUUUUCUAUACUAAAUUGCUUAAGUUCAUGUGUUUAAGGUACUCCAAAACUUCUUUAAGGUCUUCUAAACUACUCUUCUUAUGGCUCCCUUUAUUCAAACUCAUAUGACUAAUUUAUAGCCCCUUUCUCCAACAUUUGUUUGUAGUUUUGAGUCUUUAACAGACUUCUGUUUGAAGCCUACAUUUUCUUUUCUAAAAAAUCGUCUGCAACUUUAAAUCUUUCCUAAACAGACCUUUGUAUGGAGUUAACGUUUUCUAAAGUUCAACAGAUUUUCUAAAAAUCUUGUCAACUUCUAAAACAGACCCGGAGGGCACAAAGCAGAUUUUCUAUCUAACUUUCAUAUGUCAAACCAUUCUGCCUACUCUCCUAACCUCUUUUAAAGACCAAAUCAGUAAUUGAAGUCCUGCUAAACUACUUGCUGUAUGUUACAUGGUUUACCUGAGCCUUUAAGUAUUUAUUUGCAUCCCCCUUAUCUGCUACUUGUUUUUUACUGUCACUCUAGUAUUCUUACCUUUGAAUACUCCAUAUAUGUAUCCUACUUCCUUCUCCCCCUUUCUUAGGAUUAGAGGUCCUAAUGCCCCAGGACUAACAGGUUGGGACGGGUAUUAGCAUGCAAUAAGUAAACGAUAUCAACGCAUUUCAAUACCUUAACAGGGUGGGAGGGUAGAAUAUGGAGAUGAUGACAAUGCGAUAAUAUCAUAAAGCGAUCCCUCUUUGGGAAUAUGUGCGGGAUAUUGUAUCGAAUGAUCCAUAUUAUAGUUAAACCUAGGACCCAUCUUUCUCUUCGUUCUUUAUUUAAAUGAUUUCUUAAUGCUUUUCAAACUAACUCUCUUCUAUUUCAAACUUAUGCCAUUUUCUUUAAAGCUUUCAAAUUAUAUGAAUAUUAUACAUGUGCACCUUAUUUGUCUACUUGCUUUGUCUUCUUUUUAAAGUCACAAUUAGCAUGGCCUGGAACCACAUUUGUGGAUCUUGAGGGGUGCCUAACACCUUCCCGUCGAGAUAAUUUCAAGCCCUUACCCAACUCUGGUUUUUCUCUCAAAAACACUCUCUUCAACUUAAAGUGUCCUAAUGCACUAUAAUCAUUAGGUGGCGACUCUUCCAAUUUCGUAACCCAAUUCUCAAACGGGAAAUAGAGUUGUUUUACCCAUAAUGUCAUAAAACUCAAUUUUGCUCAUGAAAAAGGGGGCAUCGACAGGUAGGUUAGUGAUUUCAGUAAGUGAAGGAGGGGUAACAUGGGUAAUCAAAUAGUGGAAUCUUGUAGUAACAAACUAUGAACACCCUAGAACAGUCUAAAAUAAGAAUUUAGUCGUAAUUUCAGGAAAUUAGGAUACUUACUUGAGUAACAAGUCAAUAAAUAGGGGACUAAUAUGAAAAUAAGGAAGGGACUAAGUUUGAAAAUAGAAAAAAUGGGACGCCCUCAUUUGUGCCCUAUAUAAGAGCAUGUCCUUUACUUCAUCAACAAGUUUGGAGCCUCAAAAAUUCCCCCAAACUCUCUUAGAAAAUCUUAGUAGAGUUGAAUUUGAAAUUAUCUUUUAGAUCAUAAUUUCUGCAGAAAACAACAGAACACAAAAAAAAAUAGAAAACUUCAAAAAAAAAGGGGUUAGAAAACUAUUCUAUCGAUGAAUCCUUAGGUUAAUUUCGAUUUAUAGUCACCAAUUCACAGAUUCUAGUUCAUUUUGAUGGUGUUUGAAAGUUCAGAGGCUGGCUAGGUUUGGUUUCGAAUGGUUUCGGGUCUAUUUGGUGUUGUUGUAGAUAGGUAUAUUGGUGCCAUAUGGGUUUUAAAGCAUUGUUGGACUGCAAACUGUUUCUGAGUUUUUUUUUAAAGUUCAUUCCUGGGUUGAUUAUUGCUGUAGGUGUUGUGCUGAUUCAUUCUAAGUUGUCCUGCUGUUGCUGCUUAUCAUCUGCCGUAGUUGAUCUCACUUUCUUUCUCAUUUGGCAAUUUCCAGGUAUAUAUACCAUUUGAAUCAUACGAUGUAAUGUAUGAUUUUAUGGAAUUGGAAUGGAAUCAUCUGCUGAACCUGCUUGCUUUCUGUUGUAGUUUGAUCCUAUUAAUUUUCGUUUUGUUAAUUGAAUUCCUAAUUAAACUAGACUGAUCGGACUAUACUAAAUUGAACACUUAAUGUGAGUAGGUCAGAUUGUUAAACUCUGAACCCUAUAACUUCAUUGAUGUAUGUUUGAACUCUUUUGGUAAUUGCAGUCGAGAAUCAGAAGUUGAGUUGAAUUAAUAUACAAUAUACUGUUUAGAUCUUGGCAUGGUAAAUGGCUUCGAUAAUAUUAGCCUAAGUUAGUUUUGAAAUAGUUGUUUGUUUGGGGGUUUUGAUCAACGCGCUUGUAUGUAGUGUGUAAUGAAACCACCAAUAGCGUAAUGUAUAGAAUAGGCAUAGAACUAGAAUCAAAUUAUUCAAUGUUCAAUUAAAAUUGAAUUGAGUACUAACUGAUAAGAGUUUCUUAGAAUUGCUAACUUGAAUCACAUGAAUUAAGG
rnacentral:lncRNA from 1 species